rnacentral:rRNA from 1 species
UAGGGAAUCUUCCGCAAUGGGCGAAAGCCUGACGGAGCAACGCCGCGUGAGUGAUGAAGGUCUUCGGAUCGUAAAACUCUGUUAUUAGGGAAGAACAAAUGUGUAAGUAACUAUGCACGUCUUGACGGUACCUAAUCAGAAAGCCACGGCUAACUACGUGCCAGCAGCCGCGGUAAUACGUAGGUGGCAAGCGUUAUCCGGAAUUAUUGGGCGUAAAGCGCGCGUAGGCGGUUUUUUAAGUCUGAUGUGAAAGCCCACGGCUCAACCGUGGAGGGUCAUUGGAAACUGGAAAACUUGAGUGCAGAAGGGGAAAGUGGAAUUCCAUGUGUAGCGGUGAAAUGCGCAGAGAUAUGGAGGAACACCAGUGGCGAAGGCGACUUUCUGGUCUGUAACUGACGCUGAUGUGCGAAAGCGUGGGGAUCAAACAGG